UACGAGGGGGGCGAGCGUUGUUCGGAAUUAUUGGGCGUAAAGGGUGCGUAGGCGGUUUGGUAAGUCUGAUGUGAAAUCUAUGGGCUCAACUCAUAGUCUGCAUCGGAAACUGCCGGGCUUGAGUGUGGGAGAGGUGAGUGGAAUUCCUGGUGUAGCGGUGAAAUGCGUAGAUAUCAGGAAGAACACCCGUGGCUAAGGCGGCUCUCUAGUACGGUACUGACGCUGAGACGCGAAAGCGUGGGGAGCGAACAGG
rnacentral:rRNA from 1 species